UUCUCUUCCUGCGUCCUUCUUUCCGCUUCAACCCGCCUGUGAGAAGACUGGCUAAAACUGGUUUCGUGAACAGUAGACUACAGCAGCACGUGGUGAAUACUCUUGCAGACUCGUGGGCAUGGCGAAAGCUACUGAACUAAAAGGAAAUUCUUCGGCAUCUCUAUGCUGUUUGAAAUGUGUAGUAACCAACGUAUGCAGAAUGGUUUUGGGUGACUGAUCCUCCUGUGAAUGGACUGGGCAAUCAGGCUCCAGAACAAAAUGUGGGAGAAUAAUCCUGUGAAUUAAUGCAUAAUUUAUAUCUGAGGCUUGAAGCUUGUCCUAAUGGUGUGAUCUGAAGGAUGUCCACUAGAAGGCGCAACACCCCUUUUUGUUGACUGCCGGUGUGUGAGAGGUCCUAUAUGAUUAGAUUGAAAAAUAAAUGUUGGCAGCUGAUCGUUCUUCCCGUACUGCAAGUUGAAAAGUUUGGCGUUGGAGUGAAGGGUUUCCCAGCCAGACAUUUCUUGGAAGUUGGUGCUGCUGAUGAGAUUAUACUACAGAGGAAAUUCGUAAAACUUCUCCUGAGUGUUUUGUAUUGAUUUGUAGUUUUCAAUAAAGUACAAUGUGUGGUUGAA